rnacentral:misc_RNA from 1 species
UAUUUGAAUCGAUCAUCUCAAAAAUAUUCAUUUCUGUAUUAAAAAUUCAACAGGGAAGUCAUCUUAAUAACAGUCGCAAGCUAAAAAAAAAUAGUUAAUAUCUACACUUAAAAUAAUGAAUCGCAUUCUCGAGAAGGUGAUUCACCAGAAUGGAACAAUCGUGGAUCGCAUUCUAUCGGAACAUACUAUUGGGUAUGUGGUGUCCGAUAACACAGCCAAUGCGGUGGCCGAAACAUCCUUCGAUAACACAAGUGCCCAGGCGAUCCUGAAGCACUUACAUGGACUCCUGGUGAGCACCUGCCAAAGCGUAGUCCGGGACAUUGACCCGUCCAACAAACUCUGCUUCAUGCGCCUGGGCACUCGCAAGUUCGAGUAUCUGGUGGCCCCAGAGGAGUACUUCACCAUUACAGUGGUUCAAUGAAAUGACAAUACUGACUAAUGCUACAAACGAUUCAUGCGAGUUGAACGAUUCCGGAAGAAAUACAAAGUUAUUGCUGCAAAACCUAAAAUUAAACUAGAAAUUUUAGAAACAAUUUCCUACAACUGGGUCAAGUUUUUAGGAAAUUGGUUCCUAAAAUCUGUAAAAUGUAAUGUUACGAAGACAGCAGAAAAAUAUCAAACAAAAAUAUAAGAUGAUAUUAGCGAAUUAACAUU